GAAAUGCGAUACGUAAUGUGAAUUGCAGAAUUCAGUGAAUCAUCGAAUCUUUGAACGCACCUUGCGCCCCUUGGUAUUCCGAGGGGCACACCCGUUUGAGUGUCGUGAAAAUCUCAACCUCCUUGGUUUCUUCUGGACACCAAAGGAGGCUUGGACUUUGGAGGCCUUUGCUGGUACCUCUCUAUUUUGAAGGCCAGCUCCUCUUAAAUGAAUUAGCGGGGUCCUCUUUGCCAGUCCUCGACGUGUGAUAAGAUGUUUCCAUGUCUUGGCUUCUGGCUCUGUUGCUUUUGGGACCCGCUUCUAACCGUCUCAACCUUGCGUAGAGACAACGUUCGAGCAUGUUCUCCCUUCUCGGGAAACACUCUCGACCCCACGAACCCUUGACCUCAAAUCGGGUGAGACUACCCGCUGAACUUAA
rnacentral:rRNA from 1 species